rnacentral:rRNA from 1 species
GUCUACAGCCAUAAUACCCUGAAUGUGCCCGAUCCCAUCUGAUCUCAGAAGUUAAGCAGGGUCGGAUCUGGUUAGAACUUGGUUAGGAGAAAAAGUGGCAUAGAUAUAGACA